GGGAGGAGCAUCCCGCCCCUAGCCCCGCCUGCGCGCAGGCGCCGUGCCGCAGCCCGACCGUUGAGCUCGCGCGCUGCUGUGCCGCCCUCUUCCCCCCCCCCCCCCCCCCGGCGCUGCCGGCCGUUGCCUCAGGGCGGUGCUGCGAGCCGCCUCUGGCUCUGCCCCUGCUGUUGUGUUCGUGCGGGCCCUCUGCCUGCGGGUUUUGUAUUUAUUUAAGUAGCUGCGGUGGAAAGUCUACCGGUGUAACUGUUCUUCUGUGGGAGCGGCACUAAUGUACGCGCGGCAUCUUUACGCCGGCGAGCUGAGCGCACGAAUCCAGUUCAGGAAUGUGCUCUGAACCGACUUGAUGGAAAUUAUGGCUUCAAAUACAUAAGUGACAGAAAGCCCUCUGAAUCUGACAACUACUGGGAAAUCUGAAGAAAAUUCAGUUUCAGCCUCCCUCCUGCUUCUGAGCACUACAGAUUUGGGGAAGUGAUUCAGACAUCAUCCUGCCUCUUGAAAUUUCAUACAAAUUUAUUUCCACCCCAUUCCUGAUUCAUAACCUGAAGGAUUGUGAGCUGAAGGAUUGUGAGUCUUGCUAAAGCAAGAGAAAAUGUUGACUCUUAAAUAUCUUGUGCUUCAUCUUUCAAACUAAGUGGAGGUGACAUUCACUCAUACGUUUACACAAAUGGAAACAUGGCAUUCAUGAGUCACUGAUCUUAAUGUGGGAUUACGAACAAAAACCUAUGCUUCUUGACACCUACCUUCAGUUGAAAGACCACUCCUUGUGCAGUCCCUGGCUCUGAACUAGUCUAUGCUUUGGGUGGCAGGAGCCAAAGUGGAAGAAACAAAUGAAGCUCUUGACAUCUUGCUCUUCCUUGCUCAGUGGAAUUGCACCGUUACUCAGAUCUUGAAUCUUAUGGCUAUACCUAUGUCAUAUGAGUGGUCUCAGAAAGGACUGUGAACACCAUCAUUAGGACUGACUUCUCCUUCUAAUCCACACGACUGCUGCACAAGUUGCCUACAGACAGCCCAUGGACCGCCUGUCUGCUGUAAGGCUGCAUACUGAGAUAUCCAGCAGCACAUUAAGCUACAGGACAUGUGUGGGCAUGUGGCGUCCUUCACAAAGUGGCCUCUGGCUGCAGCUGGGGCUGUACUUCAAAGCCUGCUGUCUGUAUGGACUGUGCAUUUGGUCUUGAACCUUGCCUUGGGGCAUCCUUUACAAAUGCAGUACAGAUGUAUCCUUUGUGCCAGUAGAUGGAAGGGAAAGACUUUAGCCACAGAGCAGCAGAAAUCUGCUUUGCACACAGCUGUAUUUCAUAUAAACUUAUAAAUAUAGACAGGAUUUCAUUUGAGACUAGCAUAUUCUUGGUGAAGGAUACUUCAAAACUUGUAGAGGUUGUUUUCUGUUCUGUAAGUGAUAGAGUGGAAGGAAUAGGAAUCUAAUAUGAAAAGCCCAUGCGAUGACAAUUGCUUAAGAUGAUCUACAGCUCUUCUGUGGUAUAGAAAUACAUUAUUUAUA